CCUACGGGGGGCAGCAGUAGGGAAUUUUGCGCAAUGGGCAAAAGCCUGACGCAGCAACGCCGCGUGAUCGAGACGCCCUUCGGGGUGGAAAGAUCUGUCAGUGGGGACGAAACUUGACGGUACCCACAGAUGAAGCACCGGCUAACUCCGUGCCAGCAGCCGCGGUAAUACGGGGGGUGCAAGCGUUGUCCGGAAUCAUUGGGCGUAAGGAGUUCGUAGGCGGCACGUAAAGUCUGGUGUGAAAGGCAGAGGCUCAACUUCUGUACGGCACUGGAUACUUGCGAGCUAGAAUGCGGUAGAGGUAAAGGGAAUUCCUGGUGUAGCGGUGAAAUGCUUAGAUAUCAGGAGGAACAUCAGUGGCGUAAGCGCUUUACUGGGCCGUAAUUGACGCUGAGGAACGAAAGCCAGGGUAGCAAAUGGGAUUAGAUACCCUUGUAGUC
rnacentral:rRNA from 1 species